rnacentral:rRNA from 1 species
AACGUAGGACACAAGCGUUAUCCGGAGUUACUGGGCGUAAAGGGAGCGUAGGUGGUUGGGUAAGUUUGAUGUGAAAUCUCCGGGCUUAACCCGGAAAUGGCAUUGAAUACUAUUCGGCUAGAGGUUUGGAGGGGGGACUGGAAUUCUUGGUGUAGCAGUGAAAUGCGUAGAUAUCGUAAGGAAGACCAGUGGCGAAAGCGGCUUCCUGGUCCAGCACCGACGUUCAGGCACGAAAGCGUGGGGAGCAAACAGG